rnacentral:precursor_RNA from 1 species
AUUAGAAUCAGUACGCUUUGUCGUCACUAGCGUGUGAGUUCACAAAACGACCUGAUUCUUUAGU